AGGAUCAUUAUCAUGUAAUAUCCAGUCAUGCUGCUGCGUGAGCUGUUUAAACCCACCCUGCGUACACCGUCCUGUUGCUUCCGCCGGGCGCAUACACGCGCCCGGCGGAAGGUAAGAAAUAAGCUCCGAGUUUUACUACUGAAUCGGUCUGAAUGAAUAGGAACAAUGAAACGUUAAAACUUUCAGCAACGGAUCUCUUGGUUCUCGCAUCGAUGAAGAACGCAGCGAAAUGCGAUAAGUAGUGUGAAUUGCAGAAUUUAGUGAAUCAUCGAAUCUUUGAACGCACAUUGCGCCUUCUGGUAUUCCGGGAGGCAUGCCUGUUCGAGAGUCAUUGACAACCGUUUCGAAAACCCCCCUUCCCCCAAGUUGUCGAGGGGUUGUUGGGGGGGAUCGUUGUUGGGGGUGGAGGAUCGAGUUGGCCGAGCUUGCCCCAGCUAUGCCUGGCAAAUCUCCUCCCCGCUGAAAUUUGGCGAUGGGCUUUAUCUUCGGUGGUGGGAUUGAAGGCGAUAUAAAUGCUCCCCGGCCCCCCGGGUAGAUUGUGCCAAUCCCCCUCAACUUCCAAGUUUCACGGGCCGUCCUGUGUUGAUUAACCCACAUCAUGAUGGAUGAAGGUUUCGUUUACGGCGAUGUGCGGAGGCCCUCCUCCAUCGUGGAGCCACCAUGUACCCGUGACGAUUGGGUUAGCCCGACCUGCUGUUUAUAGCUGUACUGCCCGCUUGUAGCAAUUCGGGGCCACAGGACACCAAGCCAGUGGAGUAGGAAGAACCGAUCGCCCGUGCUGUGCUAUUUUAAAUCAAUGG
rnacentral:rRNA from 1 species